UGCUGGUGCCAUUACCUCUUGCAGCUUCCAAUGCUUUAAUCAAUUUCUUGAUCUUCCAUAUCUCAAUGUUCUUAUCAGUACAUCGAGCAUCGCCCAUCG